GCAGCGGGGAGGAAGCUUGCUUUCUCCGCCGGCGACCGGCGCACGUUUGAGUAACACGUAUGCAACCUGCCCCUGUCAGGGGGACAACCCGCCGAAAGGCGGGCUAAACCCGCGUACAUGCCACCGGGGCAUCCCGGAGGCAGGAAAGGCUUCGGCCGGACAGGGAUGGGCAUGCGGCGCAUUAGGCAGUAGGCGGGGUAACGGCCCACCUAACCGACGAUGCGUAGGGGUUCUGAGAGGAAGGUCCCCCACACUGGUACUGAGACACGGACCAGACUCCUACGGGAGGCAGCAGUGAGGAAUAUUGGUCAAUGGUCGGGAGACUGAACCAGCCAAGCCGCGUGAGGGAGGAAGGUACAGAGUAUCGUAAACCUCUUUUGUCAGGGAACAAAGGCGGGGACGUGUCCCCGGAUGAGUGUACCUGAAGAAAAAGCAUCGGCUAACUCCGUGCCAGCAGCCGCGGUAAUACGGAGGAUGCGAGCGUUAUCCGGAUUUAUUGGGUUUAAAGGGUGCGCAGGCGGUCUGUUAAGUCAGCGGUCAAAGCCCGGGGCUCAACCCCGGCCCGCCGUUGAAACUGGCAGUCUCGAGUUGGAGAGAAGUAUGCGGAAUGCGCGGUGUAGCGGUGAAAUGCAUAGAUAUCGCGCAGAACUCCGAUUGCGAAGGCAGCAUGCCGGCUCCACACUGACGCUGAGGCACGAAAGCGUGGGUAUCGAACAGGAUUAGAUACCCUGGUAGUCCACGCAGUAAACGAUGAAUGCUGGCUGUCCGGGGGGAUUGACCC
rnacentral:rRNA from 1 species